rnacentral:rRNA from 1 species
UACGGGGGGGGCAAGCGUUGUUCGGAAUUACUGGGCGUAAGGGGCUCGUAGGCGGCCAACUAAGUCAGACGUGAAAUCCCUCGGCUUAACCGGGGAACUGCGUCUGAUACUGGAUGGCUUGGAUUCGGGAGAGGAAUGCGGAAUUCCAGGUGUAGCGGUGAAAUGCGUAGAUAUCUGGAGGAACACCGGUGGCGAAGGCGGCAUUCUGGACCGACAUUGACGCUGAGGAGCGAAAGCCAGGGGAGCAAACGGG